rnacentral:rRNA from 1 species
GAUGAACGCUGACAGAAUGCUUAACAGAUGCAAGUCAACUUGAACUUCGGUUUGGGUGGCGGACGGGUGAGUAACGCGUAAAGAACUUGCCUCACAGAUAGGGACAACAUUUGGAAACGAAUGCUAAUACCUGAUAUUAUGAUUAUAUGGCAUCGUAUAAUUAUGAAAGCUAUAUGCGCUGUGAGAGAGCUUUGCGUCCCAUUAGCUAGUUGGAGAGGUAACGGCUCACCAAGGCGAUGAUGGGUAGCCGGCCUGAGAGGGUGAUCGGCCACAAGGGGACUGAGACACGGCCCUUACUCCUACGGGAGGCAGCAGUGGGGAAUAUUGGACAAUGGACCAAGAGUCUGAUCCAGCAAUUCUGUGUGCACGAUGAAGUUUUUCGGAAUGUAAAGUGCUUUCAGUUGGGAAGAAAAAAAUGACGGUACCAACAGAAGAAGUGACGGCUAAAUACGUG